UGCCAGCCGCCGCGGUAAUACGGAGGGUGCAAGCGUUAAUCGGAAUUACUGGGCGUAAAGCGCGCGUAGGUGGUUAUUUAAGUUGGCUGUGAAAGCCCCGGGCUCAACCUGGGAUGGUCAGCCAAUACUGGAUAACUAGAGUACGGUAGAGGGUAGUGGAAUUUCAGGUGUAGCGGUGAAAUGCGUAGAGAUCUGAAGGAACAUCAGUGGCGAAGGCGACUACCUGGACUGAUACUGACACUGAGGUGCGAAAGCGUGGGGAGCAAACAGGAUUAGAUA
rnacentral:rRNA from 1 species